AUUGAACGCUGGCGGCAGGCCUAACACAUGCAAGUCGAGCGGAUCGGCGGACGGGUGCGUAAUACCUAGGAAUCUGCCUCGUAGUGGUGGAUAACGUUCUGAACCGGACGCUAAUACCGCAUACUAUCCCAUGCGCCUAGGUCGGAUUAGCUAGUUGGUGAGGUAAUGGCUCACAAAGGCUACGAUCCGUAACUGGUCUUAGAGUAUGAUCAGUCACACUGGAACGGAGACACGGUCCAGACUCCUACGGGAGGCAGCAGUGGGGAAUAUUGGACAAUGGGCGAAAGCCUGAUGCAGCCAUGCCGCGUGUGUGAAGAAGGUCUUAGGGUUGUAAAGCACUUUAAGUUGGGAGGCGUUACCGACAGAAUAAGCACCGGCUAACUCUGUGCCAGAAGCCGCGGUAAUGC
rnacentral:rRNA from 1 species